rnacentral:tRNA from 1 species
GCCCCAGUAGCUUAACAACACAAAGCAUUGGCCUUGUAAACCAAAGACGGGAAUUCCCCCUGGGACA